AACGCACGAGACCUGCGGACCUGCGGAAGGAUCAUUACCGAGUUCAUGCCCUCACGGGUAGAUCUCCCACCCUUGUGUAUUCUAUGUUUGUGUUGCUUUGGCAGGCCGUGGGCCUCGCCCACCACCGGCUCUCGGGCUGGUGUGCGCCUGCCAGAGGACUCUUUAAACUCUGUUUGUUAGUGUCGUCUGAGUAUGAUAACAAUCGUUAAAACUUUCAACAAUGGAUCUCUAGAUCGGAAG
rnacentral:misc_RNA from 1 species